rnacentral:lncRNA from 12 species
ACCUUUUCGAAUUCUAUUUUGGUGGGUUGGUAUAGCUGUUUCCUUUUUGGGAGGGUGAAUCCCUGACCCUCAAAACAGAGAGGAGGCAAAAUCUCUCCAGAUACAGCAAGUUGGCCGCAUAUGAAAACAAAGCCCCCUCCUCCAAAGCAAACCACUCCCGUUAGGCAGUAAUAGUAAUAAUAAUAAAGCGAAGUUUUCCUGAUUACCUGCAGUCCUCACCCCGCAACUUGCUUUUCAGAGACCCUGGGAAGAACUUUGGGGCUCAGAGUGUUGGGCUUUGGGGAGCUGUUUCUGAAAGCAGAGUGGUGGCAGAAAAAGAAAAGCAAAGAAAAGUUUUUCCUGCACCCAGGCUGGAGAGAGAAGGCAGGAGUUCUCGUUCCCUCGUUUUUCAGGUCCCUCCCCAGAGACCCGAAGAGAUAGGCCUGAAGGAGAAUGGACUUGGGGUGUGAAACUUGCCUGUGUUUCUAGAGCACACAUCUAUCCAGGACCCCAAGUUCCUUCUAGCUGCCAAAUGCUCCAUUAGUUCUGAAAUGUAAAUGAUCUCAGCUCCAAAAUAA